rnacentral:rRNA from 1 species
AGAGUUUGAUCCUGGCUCAGGACGAACGCUGGCGGCGUGCCUAAUACAUGCAAGUCGAACGGUCUUUUCUAUGGAAGCUUGCUUCCACUGAGAAGAUAGUGGCGAACGGGUGAGUAACACGUGGGUACCUGCCCGUAAGAGGGGGAUAACAUCCGGAAACGGGUGCUAAUACCGCAUAGUUUUCUUGAUCGCAUGAUUGAGAAAGGAAAGACGGCCUUUGUGCUGUCGCUUAUGGAUGGACCCGCGGCGUAUUAGUUAGUUGGUGAGGUAACGGCUCACCAAGACGAUGAUACGUAGCCGACCUGAGAGGGUGAUCGGCCACAUUGGGACUGAGACACGGCCCAAACUCCUACGGGAGGCAGCAGUAGGGAAUCUUCCGCAAUGGACGAAAGUCUGACGGAGCAACGCCGCGUGAGUGAAGAAGGUUUUCGGAUCGUAAAACUCUGUUGUCAGAGAAGAACAAGUUGGAGAGUAACUGCUCCAGCCUUGACGGUAUCUGACCAGAAAGCCACGGCUAACUACGUGCCAGCAGCCGCGGUAAUACGUAGGUGGCAAGCGUUGUCCGGAUUUAUUGGGCGUAAAGCGAGCGCAGGCGGU